ensembl:lncRNA
AGAGGAGGCAGGUAGCCUAGUGGUUAGAGUGUAGAGGUGGCAGGUAGCCUAGUGGUUAGAGUGUAGGGACGGCAGGUAGGCUAGUGGUUAGAGUGUAGGGACGGCAGGUAGCCUAGUGGUUAGAGUGUAGGGACGGCAGGUAGCCUAGUGGUUAGAGUGUAGGGGUGGCAGGUAGCCUAGUGGUUAGAGUGUAGGGACGGCAGGUAGCCUAGUGGUUAGAGUGUAGGGACGGCAGGUAGGCUAGUGGUUAGAGUGUAGGGACGGCAGGUAGCCUAGUGGUUAGAGUGUACGGACGGCAGGUAGCCUAGUGGUUAGAGUGUAGGGACGGCAGGUAGCCUAGUGGUUAGAGUGUAGGGACGGCAGGUAGCCUAGUGGUUAGAGUGUAGGGAGGCAGGUAGUCUAGUGGUUAGAGUGUAGGGGGGGCAGGUAGUCUAGUGGUUAGAGUGUAGGGGGGUUAGGUAGCCUAGUGGUUAGAGUGUAGGGGGGGCAGGUAGCCUAGUGGUUAGAGUGUAGGGGUGGCAGGUAGCCUAGUGGUUAGAGUGUAGGGGGGCAGGUAGGCUAGUGGUUAGAGUGUAGGGGGUCAGGUAGCCUAGUGGUUAGAGUGUAGGGGGUUAGGUACCCUAGUGGUUAGAGUGUAGGGGCGGCAGGUAGCCUAGUGGUUAGAGUGUAGGGGGGGCAGGUAGUCUAGCGUGGUUAGAGUGUAGGGGCGGCAGGUAGCCUAGCGGUUAGAGUGUAGGGGCGGCAGGUAGCCUCGUGGUUAGAGUGUAGGGACGGCAGGUAGCAUCGUGGUUAGAUUGUAGGGGCGGCAACUAGCCUAGUGGUUAGAGUGUAGGGGCGGCAGGUAGCCUAGUGGUUAGAGUGUAGGGGGGGCAAGUAGCCUAGUGGUUAGAGUGUAGGGUGGUUAGGUAGCCUAGUGGUUAGAGUGUAGGUAGCCUAGUGGUUAGAGUGUAGGGGGGUUAGGUAGCCUAGUGGUUAGAGUGUAGGGGUGGCAGGUAGCCUAGUGGUUAGAGUUUAGG